ACGUACAACUACAAGCUUAAAAUCCACUCAACUGGUGACCCCAUUACUUCCCAUUGUGAAUGUCCAGCAGGCAAGGGGCCACAUGGUACAUGUAAGCAUAUUGCAGCAGUUCUAUUACUUCUGCAAUGGUUCACAGAGACGGGCGAAAUUAAAGUAAAGAAGUCAUGCACUGAAAACAUUCAAAAAUUUCAUAAACCUAAAACCAUGUACGAAGGUAAGCCGGUCUUCUCAGAGGAAAUUCCGACAAAAAGAAAGUGUAUGGAUGAAAUGUUGGACGAUCCACGACCUAUAAAACGUCGAAAUAAUGCUGGUUAUACCGAUUAUGUCAGAAACCGUAUGAUCAAUUAUGUUCACCAUUCCUCUCAAGAUCUGGCAAUGCGAUAUUUGUUUCCUGUAACUAACAUUCAGAUUGCAAGUGAAGACCAUAAGUACCUGCCUUUGCCAUUAACAGAAUAUUUGGUUGACAGAGCUAUACAGGUUACGGACCAAACAAUAGAAGAAAUAGAACAAUAUACAAGAAAACAGGCAAAGUGUAAACUGUGGUAUAAUGAAAGAAGGUGGAGAGUAACAGCCCUCGCGUUUCGGGGAUGUAACUAAAAUGACUUGUCGCAGGAAUAUUAAAAAACUAUGUUCAAGCGUAUUCUCUUUCAAUAAAAUUAAUACCAUGCCAAUAAUUCA